AUGAGGAGUCUGAGUCUUAGGUGAGACGAAGAACCUUACCCAAGAUUGCUCAGCUAGUAAGUGGCAGAACUGAAAUACAGAAGCCAGAUUUUUCAUGUUCUAAACUACUGAUGAGCCAGGCAUGAUGGUGCGCACCUGUAGUCCCAGCUACUCAGAAUGCUAAGGAGAGAGGAUCCCUUGACCCCAGGAGUUCAAGACUAUAGUGAGCUUUGACUACCUGUGAAAAGCCACUGCGUUCCAGCCUGGGCAACAGAGUAAGACUCUGUCUCUAAAAAUAAAAAUAUAAUUCCUGAGCUUCACCACUGCACUCUGCUACCUCCUGUGCACACCCACCCACACAUGCACACACACGCACACCCCAUCAAGUCUUCUCCAGCAGUAUGCACACUGACAACUCUGCAAUGUCGCAAUAGAAAUUCUCACAUGGUUCUGAAGGACCUAGAACUUUUAAGCGAUUCUGCCAACUUCUCCUCUGGUUUGCACACCUCUCUCCUGCCAUCAGCACCUCCUAAUGCAGCCCUUGGUUUGAGCUCCUUACAUUGCUCUUGGAAUAUUGCCACUGCGGGGCAUAUGGGCUGUUUCCAUUUGUCCAGCAGGCCUUCUCCUCCUCAUUCCAACUGAUUCUGAGGGGCCCAUCAUCGCAUUGUCUCCACCCAAACCACCACUGCAGAGUAGUAUGAAAUAUUUGUAUUCACUUAAAGUGGAAAGACAAUCUGCACACCUGGAGGAGAUAUUUGCAACAUUUACAACUGGCAAAGGUUUAUUACCAAGAAUAUAUAAAGAAGUCUUAUAAAUCAACAAGAAAGAAGAAAAACAACAGAAAGAAAUGGACAAAAGAAAAAGCAUUUUAUAAAAGAAGAAAUGCUCAUGGCCAGCAAACAUAUGGAGAUGUUCAAACUCAUGUGAAAUGUAAAUCAAGACCCAAUAAGAUAAGCUUUUAUGUCCACUAAAAUGGCAAAAUGUUAAUAGCUAGACAAUCCAAGUAUUGGAGAACAUACAGAUCCAUGGGAUCUCUUACAUAUCGCUUAUAAGGGUACGCAUUAGGACAUAGGACACUCACUUAGAAAAAGUGUGGCAUUAUCUUGCAAAAUCAAACACUCACAUAGGCUGCUGUGCAGGUCCUGAGUCUGUUUGCCCUCAGAUCCACUCUUUGCUAUGCCCUUAUGUCCUCAGUUUUCCAGCAGGAUCUCGGCAGCCAUGUCAUCUUGCUUCCAGUUGGGCUCAGUUAAUAAAAGAGAGAGAAUGGAAGGUGGAAAGAAGGGAGAAGCCAAGGUGUUUCUCACCAGCACCCUCCCCUUCUCCUCUCAGGUAACAUCCCCUGUGGUGGCCACAGCUCUCCGAUGGGUCCAGUUCCCACAGGAAAGCCAGCCAUGAUUCUAACUUCUACCAGGUGACCCUGGCCCUGGGCUCUGGUGACACUAACCUUUUGUUUCUCUAGUCCUGGGGAGGGGUAGUAACAGCUUCCUGCUAUUAUUAAUUUAUGGAUUGCCUCAUUGCCUCCUGUGAGGCUUCUCAGCUAUUGAUUACCAUACUACUCAGCAAUAAAAAGGAAAAAACUAUUGAUACAUGCAACAACUUUGUCGGACCACAAGAGAAUUUUACCAACUAAAAAAGCCAGUCUCACAUUGUUACAUACUAUAUGAUUCCACUUACAUAACCUUCUAGAAAUGACAAAAUUAUUGAGGUGAAGAACAGAUUAGUGGUUGCCAAGGGUUAAAGACAGGGUUGGGGUUGGAGAAAGAAAUCAGUGUACCUAAAAAGAAGCAGCCAGAGGGAUCUUUGUGGUGACGGGACAGUUCUGUAUCUUGAUUGUGGUGGUGGUUAUACAAAUCUACGUGUAAUAAAGUUUUAUGUGUGCAUAGAACUAUGUACAUACUCAAACAAAUGCAUGUAACCCUGGUGAAAUCUGAAUAAGGUCUGUGGAUUGUGCCAAUACCAGUGACCUGGUUUUGAUACUGUAUUAUAGCUAUCUAAGACAUUAUUAUCAGGAGAAAAUGGGGGAAAGGUACAUGUACUUUUCUGUACUAUUUUUGCAACUUCUCGUGAAUCUGUUACUAUUUCAAAAUUAAAAGUAUCUGAAAAUCCAUAGAGUGGUUUCUGUUUUUUCUGAUUAGACCCUGACUGAUACUCCUACAACCCCACAAUUCCUUCCGCUCCUAGAUGUAUA
rnacentral:lncRNA from 10 species